rnacentral:rRNA from 1 species
GACGAACGCUGGCGGCGUGCUUAACACAUGCAAGUCGAACGCUGAAGACCUGGCUUUUGUUGGGUUGGAUGAGUGGCGAACGGGUGAGUAACACGUGAGUAACCUGCCCUCUUCUUUGGGAUAACGCCCGGAAACGGGUGCUAAUACUGGAUAUUCACUGAUCUUCGCAUGGGGGUUGGUGGAAAGGUUUGUUCUGGUGGGGGAUGGGCUCGCGGCCUAUCAGCUUGUUGGUGGGGUGAUGGCCUACCAAGGCUUUGACGGGUAGCCGGCCUGGGAGGGUGACCGGUCACAUUGGGACUGGGAUACGGCCCAGACUCCUUCGGGAGGCAGCAGUGGGGAAUAUUGCACAAUGGGCGAAAGCCUGAUGCAGCGACGCCGCGUGAGGGAUGGAGGCCUUCGGGUUGUAAACCUCUUUCGCUCAUGGUCAAGCCGCAACUGUGGGUUGUGGUGAGGGUAGUGGGUAAAGAAGCGCCGGCUAACUACGUG